CCCAAGAACAAAAGACUUAGUCCUAACCUU
rnacentral:rRNA from 1 species